AUUGAACGCUGGCGGCAGGCCUAACACAUGCAAGUCGAGCGGUAGCACAGAGAGCUUGCUCUCGGGUGACGAGCGGCGGACGGGUGGGUAAUGUCUGGGAAACUGCCUGAUGGAGGGGGAUAACUACUGGAAACGGUAGCUAAUACCGCAUAAUGUCGCAAGACCAAAGUGGGGGACCUUCGGGCCUCAUGCCAUCAGAUGUGCCCAGAUGGGAUUAGCUAGUAGGUGGGGUAACGGCUCACCUAGGCGACGAUCCCUAGCUGGUCUGAGAGGAUGACCAGCCACACUGGAACUGAGACACGGUCCAGACUCCUACGGGAGGCAGCAGUGGGGAAUAUUGCACAAUGGGCGCAAGCCUGAUGCAGCCAUGCCGCGUGUGUGAAGAAGGCCUUCGGGUUGUAAAGCACUUUCAGCGGGGAGGAAGGCGGUGAGGUUAAUAACCUCAUCGAUUGACGUUACCCGCAGAAGAAGCACCGGCUAACUCCGUGCCAGCAGCCGCGGUAAUACGGAGGGUGCAAGCGUUAAUCGGAAUUACUGGGCGUAAAGCGCACGCAGGCGGUCUGUCAAGUCGGAUGUGAAAUCCCCGGGCUCAACCUGGGAACUGCAUUCGAAACUGGCAGGCUAGAGUCUUGUAGAGGGGGGUAGAAUUCCAGGUGUAGCGGUGAAAUGCGUAGAGAUCUGGAGGAAUACCGGUGGCGAAGGCGGCCCCCUGGACAAAGACUGACGCUCAGGUGCGAAAGCGUGGGGAGCAAACAGGAUUAGAUACCCAGGUAGUCCACGCCGUAAACGAUGUCGAUUUGGAGGUUGUGCCCUUGAGGCGUGGCUUCCGGAGCUAACGCGUUAAAUCGACCGCCUGGGGAGUACGGCCGCAAGGUUAAAACUCAAAUGAAUUGACGGGGGCCCGCACAAGCGGUGGAGCAUGUGGUUUAAUUCGAUGCAACGCGAAGAACCUUACCUGGUCUUGACAUCCACAGAACUUUCCAGAGAUGGAUUGGUGCCUUCGGGAACUGUGAGACAGGUGCUGCAUGGCUGUCGUCAGCUCGUGUUGUGAAAUGUUGGGUUAAGUCCCGCAACGAGCGCAACCCUUAUCCUUUGUUGCCAGCGGUUAGGCCGGGAACUCAAAGGAGACUGCCAGUGAUAAACUGGAGGAAGGUGGGGAUGACGUCAAGUCAUCAUGGCCCUUACGACCAGGGCUACACACGUGCUACAAUGGCAUAUACAAAGAGAAGCGACCUCGCGAGAGCAAGCGGACCUCAUAAAGUAUGUCGUAGUCCGGAUUGGAGUCUGCAACUCGACUCCAUGAAGUCGGAAUCGCUAGUAAUCGUAGAUCAGAAUGCUACGGUGAAUACGUUCCCGGGCCU
rnacentral:rRNA from 1 species